UACAGAGGGGGCAAGCGUUGUUCGGAAUUACUGGGCGUAAAGGGCGCGUAGGCGGCCUUCUAAGUCGAACGUGAAAUCCCCGGGCUCAACCCGGGAACUGCAUUGGUGACUGCAUCGCUCGAGUAUGGCAGAGGGGGGUAGAAUUCCACGUGUAGCAGUGAAAUGCGUAGAGAUGUGGAGGAAUACCGAUGGCGAAGGCAGCCCCCUGGGUCAAUACUGACGCUCAUGCACGAAAGCGUGGGGAGCAAACAGG
rnacentral:rRNA from 1 species